rnacentral:rRNA from 1 species
GACGAACGCUGGCGGCGUGCUUAACACAUGCAAGUCGAACGGAAAGGCCCUGCUUUUGUGGGGUGCUCGAGUGGCGAACGGGUGAGUAACACGUGAGUAACCUGCCCUUGACUUUGGGAUAACGUCAGGAAACUGGGGCUAAUACCGGAUAGGAGCUCCUGCUGCAUGGUGGGGGUUGGAAAGUUUCGGCGGUUGGGGAUGGACUCGCGGCUUAUCAGCUUGUUGGGGGGGUAGUGGCUUACCAAGGGUUUGCAGGGUAGCCGGCCUGUGAGGGUGACCGGCCACAAUGGGACUGAGAUACGGCCCAGAGUCCUACGGGGGGCAGCAGUCGGAAAUAUGGCACAAUGGGCGGAAGCCUGAGGAAGAAGCGCUGCGUGCGGAAAGACCGCCUUCGGGGUGGGAACCGAUUUCGCCUGUGACGAAGCGUGAGUGACGGUAAUCGGUAAAGAAGCACCGGCUAACUACGUG